rnacentral:rRNA from 1 species
CCCGCCGGCGACCGGCGCACGGGUGAGUAACACGUAUGCAACCUGGCCGCCACAGGGGGCUAACCCGCGGAAACGCGGCCUAAUACCCCGUGACGCCACCGGAGGGCAUCCUCCGGUGGCCAAAGGAGCGAUCCGGUGGCGGAUGGGCAUGCGGCGCAUUAGCUAGACGGCGGGGUGACGGCCCACCGUGGCGACGAUGCGUAGGGGUUCUGAGAGGAAGGCCCCCCACACUGGGACUGAGACACGGCCCAGACUCCUACGGAAGGCAGCAG